rnacentral:rRNA from 1 species
GGGGGCAAGCGUUGUUCGGAAUUACUGGGCGUAAAGGGCUCGUAGGCUGCCAGCUAAGUCAGACGUGAAAUCCCCGGGCUCAACCCGGGAACUGCGUCCGAUACUGGCAGGCUUGAAUCCGGGAGAGGGAUGCGGAAUUCCAGGUGUAGCGGUGAAAUGCGUAGAUAUCUGGAGGAACACCGGUGGCGAAGGCGGCAUCCUGGACCGGCAUUGACGCUGAGGCGCGAAAGCCAGGGGAGCAAACGGG